UACGUAGGUGGCAAGCGUUGUCCGGAAUUAUUGGGCGUAAAGCGCGCGCAGGCGGCCUCCUAAGUCCGAUGUGAAAGCCCACGGCUCAACCGUGGAGGGUCAUUGGAAACUGGGGGACUUGAGUGCAGGAGAGAAGAGUGGAAUUCCACGUGUAGCGGUGAAAUGCGUAGAGAUGUGGAGGAACACCAGUGGCGAAGGCGACUCUUUGGGCUGUAACUGACGCUGAGGCGCGAAAGCGUGGGGAGCAAACAGG
rnacentral:rRNA from 1 species